GUUCGGAAUUACUGGGCGUAAAGGGCUCGUAGGCGGCCAACUAAGUCGGAUGUGAAAUCCCCAGGCUUAACCUGGGAACUGCAUCCGAUACUGGAUGGCUUGAAUCCGGGAGAGGGAUGCAGAAUUCCAGGUGUAGCGGUGAAAUGCGUAGAUAUCUGGAGGAAUACCGGUGGCGAAGGCGGCAUCCUGGACCGGCAUUGACGCUGAGUGAGCGAAAGCCAGGGGAGCAAACGGG
rnacentral:rRNA from 1 species